rnacentral:rRNA from 1 species
GAUGAACGCUGGCGGCGUGCCUAACACAUGCAAGUCGAGCGAACCUUUCGGGGUGAGCGGCGGACGGGUGAGUAACGCGUGGGUAACCUGCCCUAUACACACGGAUAACGUACCGAAAGGUACGCUAAUACGGGAUAAAGUUGUUGGAUGGCAUCUUCUAACAAUCAAAGCUCCGGCGGUAUAGGAUGGACCCGCGUCUGAUUAGCUAGUUGGUGAGGUAAUGGCUCACCAAGGCGACGAUCAGUAGCCGACCUGAGAGGGUGAUCGGCCACACUGGAACUGAGACACGGUCCAGACUCCUACGGGAGGCAGCAGUGGGGAAUAUUGCACAAUGGGCGAAAGCCUGAUGCAGCAACGCCGCGUGAGCGAUGAAGGUCUUCGGAUCGUAAAGCUCUGUCCUCAAGGAAGAUAAUGACGGUACUUGAGGAGGAAGCCCCGGCUAACUACGUGCCAGCCGCCGCCGUAA